rnacentral:tRNA from 1 species
GCGCUCAUAGCUAAGCUGGAUAGAGCAUUUGAUUGCGGUUCAAAAGGCCAGAGGUUCGAAUCCUCUUGAGCGCACCA